rnacentral:rRNA from 1 species
GGAGAAAAGCAGGGGAUCGCAAGACCUUGCACUUUUGGAGCGGCCGAUGUCUGAUUAGCUAGUUGGUGGGGUAAAGGCCUACCAAGGCGACGAUCAGUAGUUGGUCUGAGAGGACGACCAGCCACACUGGGACUGAGACACGGCCCAGACUCCUACGGGAGGCAGCAGUGGGGAAUUUUGGACAAUGGGCGCAAGCCUGAUCCAGCAAUGCCGCGUGAGUGAAGAAGGCCUUCGGGUUGUAAAGCUCUUUCAGUCGAGAAGAAAAAGCUGCAGUGAAUAACUGUAGUUCAUGACGGUAUCGACAGAAGAAGCACCGGCUAACUACGUGCCAGCAGCCGCGGUAAUACGUAGGGUGCGAGCGUUAAUCGGAAUUACUGGGCGUAAAGGGUGCGCAGGCGGCUUUGUAAGUCAGAUGUGAANUCCCCGGGCUUAACCUGGGAAUUGCGUUUGAAACUACAAAGCUAG